rnacentral:lncRNA from 1 species
UUGAUGAAAUUGAUUUAUUUCAUUUGUAAUUCGAGUAGUCUUAUGAUUUGGAAAAUACUUUUUAAGAAAAACCACCACAAACCCCUCCCACGUGGAAAUAGAAUUAACGGGAAGACUAUAUAACCAUUUUUUCGCAUUCUCUUUAAGCGCAAAAUUAAUGAGCCUAAGUCUAAUCGAAUCUUCCGUUAAUUGGUGGAGCUUUUGGAGGGAACAAACUUCCUCGAAUUCUUGGAUGAAAAGAUAAGGAUCCUCACCCUCACUCCCGGUAAAUUUAGGUAACAUGCUAAUAUGAUGAGCUUUGAUUUCAAAAUUGUUCCCAUUUACCGGAGGAAGG